UUUUUUACUACUAUUUUGUUUCAUUUAAACUUCUGUUUCAACAUUAUUUAUACUGUUGCACGUAUAAUCGAUUGUGUUAUUUUGUUAUUAUUCAACAUAGCCAUUUUCUUGGCCUAAAAUCAUUAACUUGAUGUCCGUGAGAACUCCUUCAUGACCUUGACCUUUUUAAGUUUAAUACAUAUACAUAGGUGGGACAACCACGUUCAGAGCCAAUACAGAUUGCAUUUCCUCUGUUGGUGUAAUCUGGUAGGUAGGAAGCAGAAGUACAUUUUUCAUAGUAGCACUGACGUAUUGAUUUAAGAAGAAUGUUUUCAUUAAAUAGCAGCAAAAUUAUUUUUCAAUUAGAAGAUCAUUCCCAAAAAGAUUAUCCUGACGAAGGAGAAUAGUGGGACUGGGAAAGUCUAAUUAUUUCAUUAAAAUACCCUCGAAGGAUUAAAAGACGACUUGUGGCUGACUAAAAUCGUAAAAUUGCUAUUACUACUUAGGAAAGCUGGACAGCGGGCAUUUUUGAUCCGUGAUAUUUGGAAAUACGAGCUUUUGAGGAUCACCUGAACGCAGCAUCAUUUGAGAGAAACCGCCUGUAAGCGCAUGCGCAUCAGGCGGAUAGAAACAACAGCAGCAGCACCAGCAGCAGCAGGGAAUCAUUGCAGCCCGGCGGAAUAUGCACAAACGUGCUCCAUCAAAUUCGAGCUGUACCCCCGCACACCAAGCCGCUGACUGAGGAGUCCGGCAGGAAGGGCAGCUCCAGGUGCAGUGACCGCAGAGGUUACACUAUGCUGCUGCCCAUAGGUGGGCAGGUGAGGUCAAGUAAUAGUAGAUAGGAAGGACAAUUCGACCUCACCCCUGGUCUGGAUCUCCUCCAUUGGGAAGUGAUUUCCUCCGGCAGGAAACUUGCCGGUCCAACCACAACCUGAUUAUCUGAUUAUGGGCGGGAUUCUGCUCUAGUCUGUUGACAUUUUCACGUCGCUCAACAGACAUCACAUGAUGCGUCUGCGUCCGAUGGUGACGCCUCUUGGAAAUCGAAAAUCUGACUACACCAGGCUAGGAGACAAUUUCAGAACUUUGCUUGUGACGGGUACGUCAUAUGCACAAAGCCUCUGGCUGUUGCUUAUCUUUUCUCACCGUUCUGAUCUUCAUCCUGAGGCCCGGCGUGGGCCAACAGAUCUGGUUUGUUGAUGAGGCGGGAGGCAUAAAGGUGUUUGAGACCCAGGAAAAGGAGAAGGAUGGAGGGGACGAUCUGGGCAGCAACACCAUCUAGCACUGCUGGUCGGCUGGGCAGCUCCAUCAGCACACUCAGGCCAAUGAUACACAUCUUCCGAUCAUGGAGCCUGCGCAGUGGAUCGGGGAGACAUCAUGUAUAUAAAUGACCCUUCC